rnacentral:rRNA from 1 species
UGGGGAAUUUUGCGCAAUGGGGGAAACCCUGACGCAGCAACGCCGCGUGGAGGAUGAAGUAUCUUGGUACGUAAACUCCUUUCGAUUGGGAAGAUAAUGACGGUACCAAUAGAAGAAGCCCCGGCUAACUUCGUGCCAGCAGCCGCGGUAAUACGAGGGGGGCAAGCGUUGUUCGGAAUUAUUGGGCGUAAAGGGUGCGUAGGCGGUUUGGUAAGUCUUGUGUGAAAUCUUCAGGCUCAACUUGAAGUCUGCACGAGAAACUACCGGACUAGAGUGUGGGAGAGGUGAGUGGAAUUUCCGGUGUAGCGGUGAAAUGCGUAGAUAUCGGAAGGAACACCUGUGGCGAAAGCGGCUCACUGGACCACAACUGACGCUGAGGCACGAAAGCUAGGGGAGCAAACAG